GGGCCCGCACAAGCGGUGGAGUAUGUGGUUUAAUUCGAUGCAACGCGAAGAACCUUACCAGGGUUUGACAUCCUGCGAAUCUCUUGGAAACGAGAGAGUGCCUUCGGGAACGCAGUGACAGGUGGUGCAUGGCUGUCGUCAGCUCGUGUCGUGAGAUGUUGGGUUAAGUCCCGCAACGAGCGCAACCCACGUCUUUAGUUGCCAGCACAUUAUGGUGGGAACUCUAAGGAGACUGCCGGUGACAAACCGGAGGAAGGUGUGGAUGACGUCAAGUCAUCAUGCCCCUUACAUCCUGGGCUACACACGUACUACAAUGCUACGGACAAAGGGCAGCAAGUUCGCGAGGACAAGCAAAUCCCAUAAACCGUGGCUCAGUUCAGAUCGUAGGCUGCAACUCGCCUACGUG
rnacentral:rRNA from 1 species